GACGAACGCUGGCGGCGUGCCUAAUACAUGCAAGUCGAGCGAAGUUUUUCUGGUGCUUGCACCGGAAAAACUUAGCGGCGAACGGGUGAGUAACACGUAAAGAACCUGCCUCAUAGACUGGGACAACUAUUGGAAACGAUAGCUAAUACCGGAUAACAGCAUUAACUGCAUGGUUGAUGUUUAAAAGUUGGUUUUGCUAACACUAUGAGAUGGCUUUGCGGUGCAUUAGCUAGUUGGUGGGGUAAAGGCCUACCAAGGCGACGAUGCAUAGCCGACCUGAGAGGGUGAUCGGCCACACUGGGACUGAGACACGGCCCAGACUCCUACGGGAGGCAGCAGUAGGGAAUCUUCCGCAAUGGGCGAAAGCCUGACGGAGCAACGCCGCGUGAGUGAAGAAGGAUUUCGGUUCGUAAAGCUCUGUUGUUAGGGAAGAAUGAUUGUGUAGUAACUAUACACAGUAGAGACGGUACCUAACCAGAAAGCCACGGCUAACUACGUGCCAGCAGCCGCGGUAAUACGUAGGUGGCAAGCGUUGUCCGGAAUUAUUGGGCGUAAAGCGCGCGCAGGUGGUUUAAUAAGUCUGAUGUGAAAGCCCACGGCUCAACCGUGGAGGGUCAUUGGAAACUGUUAAACUUGAGUGCAGGAGAGAAAAGUGGAAUUCCUAGUGUAGCGGUGAAAUGCGUAGAGAUUAGGAGGAACACCAGUGGCGAAGGCGGCUUUUUGGCCUGUAACUGACACUGAGGCGCGAAAGCGUGGGGAGCAAACAGG
rnacentral:rRNA from 2 species